CCUCUUGGAUCACUGAAGUUAAGCAAUGUCAAGCUUAGUCAGUACUUAGGUGGGGGACCACUUGGGAACACCAGGUACUGUAAGC